CUACGGGGGGCUGCAGUGAGGAAUAUUGCACAAUGGGGGGAACCCUGAUGCAGCAACGCCGCGUGGAGGAUGACGCAUUUCGGUGUGUAAACUCCUUUUAUAUGUCAAGAAAAUGACGGUAGCAUAUGAAUAAGCACCGGCUAACUCCGUGCCAGCAGCCGCGGUAAUAGCGGAGGGUGCAAGCGUUACUCGGAAUCACUGGGCGUAAAGGACGCGUAGGCGGGUUGGAAAGUCAGGUGUGAAAUCCUACAGCUUAACUGUAGAACUGCACUUGAAACUUCUAAUCUAGAGUAUGGGAGGGGGAGAUGGAAUUAGUGGUGUAGGGGUAAAAUCCGUAGAUAUCACUAGGAAUACCUAAAGCGAAGGCGAUCUCCUGGAACAUUACUGACGCUAAGGCGUGAAAGCGUGGGGAGCAAACAGGAUUAGAUACCCCCGUAGUC
rnacentral:rRNA from 1 species